rnacentral:tRNA from 1 species
CUGCCCGUAGUUCAGUUGGAUAGAACGCCAGUUUGCGGAACUGGAGGCCAGGAGUUCGAAUCUCUUCGGGCAGGCCA